rnacentral:tRNA from 1 species
GAGAAUUAGCUCAAUGGUAGAGCAGCGGACUGUUAAUCCGCCUAUACAAGUUCGAUUCUUGUAUUCUCC